rnacentral:rRNA from 1 species
AUUGAACGCUGGCGGCAUGCCUUACACAUGCAAGUCGAACGGCAGCACGGGUGCUUGCACCUGGUGGCGAGUGGCGAACGGGUGAGUAAUACAUCGGAACGUACCUUAUCGUGGGGGAUAACGCAGCGAAAGCUGUGCUAAUACCGCAUACGCCCUGAGGGGGAAAGCGGGGGAUCGCAAGACCUCGCGCGAUUAGAGCGGCCGAUGCCUGAUUAGCUUGUUGGUGGGGUAAAAGCCCACCAAGGCGACGAUCAGUAGCUGGUCUGAGAGGACGAUCAGCCACACUGGGACUGAGACACGGCCCAGACUCCUACGGGAGGCAGCAGUGGGGAAUUUUGGACAAUGGGGGCAACCCUGAUCCAGCAAUGCCGCGUGAGUGAAGAAGGCCUUCGGAUUGAAAAGCUCUUUUGUCAGGGAAGAAACACCGGCUCUAACACAGUCCGGGAAUGACGGUACCUGAAGAAUAAGCACCGGCUAACUACGUGCCAGCCGCCGCCGUAA